rnacentral:lncRNA from 1 species
AGAUUUUUUUUUUCAGAUAGCUCAUAGCGUACUACCUAUGUCUCAAAUGCACAUGUUGAGGUAGAGAGGCAAAGACUUGUGAUUGCGUCAGUACAUCAUGAUACAGUGUUGACUCAGCAAUAGUAGUAACAUGCAACAAAGCCUGAGGGAUAGACUGGGGAAGAGGCACAAUCAUAGCCACAACCAGAAAUAUCGUCUGCCGACCAUAUCAUCGGACUCCCAUUUGGAGGAGACCUUGUGGAUUUGACAUUGCUUCAAUCCUAUAAGGACCACGUAGUUGGACGUGUAUGGAUUGGUGAGCCUAGAGUGGAGUUAAAGCUUAUUAAUCAUGGUGACAAUGUUAUGCCUUACCCUACCCAACUGACAGUGAAGGGGUACGUGGAUAGGUAAGGGCUUAACAGCCUCUAUGAUGUGCGAUACAUGUUCACGAAUAAAUGCAUAAUCAAUGCCUUUAUUGAGAGAUGACAUAGGGAG